rnacentral:rRNA from 1 species
UGGGGAAUAUUGGACAAUGGGGGAAACCCUGAUCCAGCAAUACCGCGUGUGUGAAGAAGGCCUGCGGGUUGUAAAGCACUUUCAGUGGGGAGGAAUGUGAGUAUGCUAAUAUCAUGCUCAAUGGACGUUACCCACAGAAGAAGCACCGGCUAACUCUGUGCCAGCAGCCGCGGUAAUACAGAGGGUGCAAGCGUUAAUCGGAAUUACUGGGCGUAAAGGGUGUGUAGGUGGUAAGGUAAGUUAGAUGUGAAAUCCCUGGGCUCAACCUGGGAACUGCGUUUAAAACUGCCUAACUAGAGUACUGUAGAGGGUUGCGGAAUUUCCGGUGUAGCGGUGAAAUGCGUAGAUAUCGGAAGGAACACCAGUGGCGAAGGCGGCAGCCUGGACAGAUACUGACACUGAGACACGAAAGCGUGGGUAGCAAACAGG